rnacentral:rRNA from 1 species
GAUGAACGCUGGCGGCGUGCCUAAUACAUGCAAGUCGAGCGAACAGACGAGGAGCUUGCUCCUCUGACGUUAGCGGCGGACGGGUGAGUAACACGUGGAUAACCUACCUAUAAGACUGGGAUAACUUCGGGAAACCGGAGCUAAUACCGGAUAACAUGUUGAACCGCAUGGUUCAACAGUGAAAGACGGUUUUGCUGUCACUUAUAGAUGGAUCCACGUCGCAUUAGCUAGUUGGUAAGGUAACGGCUUACCAAGGCAACGAUGCGUAGCCGACCUGAGAGGGUGAUCGGCCACACUGGAACUGAGACACGGUCCAGACUCCUACGGGAGGCAGCAGUAGGGAAUCUUGCGCAAUGGGCGAAAGCCUGACGGAGCAACGCCGCGUGAGUGAAGAAGGUCUUCGGAUCGUAAAACUCUGUUAUUCGGGAAGAACAAAUGUGUAAGUAACUAUGCACGUCUUGACGGUACCUAAUCAGAAAGCCACGGCUAACUACGUG